UGUUCAGGUGGGAAAGGAGCAAGAGGGAGACUUGAAAACAGUCCUGUGGGGCUCGUGAAGUACUCAGAUAAGUGACAUCUUAUACCUGAAUACCUGAAUACCUGUUUUUCACAGUGGGGGCUUGGGUGGGUGUCUUAGCAUUGGUUUUCCCCAUCUUGGAGAUUUCAGGGCUUACUUGUCAGAAGGUGCCAUCUUCUUGGAGGAAGGAAUGAACCGGUAGUUUGAACUCUACAGAACAAGAGAGGGGACUUGAAUACAGGCAUCUGGUUGGCAGUGGAAUAUGUGGAAACUGAGGCAGAGCUGGGGGAUUCAAAUCCAGACCGGCUGUGUGCACACUCUUAGCCACGCGGCAUCACCUCAGAGAUCCAGCCUAUCAAACAAGUGUCUGGAGUCACAAUGACUUGGGAGGCUGAGAGUUUACCUAGAAGCCAAGGAAAGGUUCUGACCCGGCCUGCUCUGGUUAGGUGGCAAUGGGAAAUAACAGACACAUCCCAGCUGAAUGGUGCGCUGACCGGCUACACUCCCAGGAUGCAUAAUUAAAUACACAUACACUAAAAUACAUCUAUGUGUGCAAUUCUGAUACAUCAUUGGGUAUUCAUAGUAGACCAUUUCUUCAUCUUUCCUUCAUUCUCUAUUUCCAUGUCUCUCCUUCCCACCAUUCCUGUAUCUGUCCUUCCCUUCCAAAUACAAGAUAGUUCAGGGUUUUGUGCCUUGUGGAGUAGAAGGGAUUCUAUUCUUAAAACAGAUUUCAUUUGUAUUGACUUCACCCCUACCUGUAUCCCAGAUCUUCUUCUGAGCCCCAGACCACAUAUGUGUGUGUGUGUGUGUAUAUAUAUAUAUGUAUCAACUACCUCCUGACCACCUAACAUGGGUGUCAUACAGGCACUUCAAAUACAUGUUCAAAACUGAACUUGCCCUCUUGCUACAAACUGCAUUUUGAUUCACCUUAUUUUACUCUCAACUGAACCUGGCUAGAAAAAUGUGACCAUUAACUUCAGUUGGGACCUCAGGGCAUCCCUGCCAUCCUAAGACAUUUCCCUGGUCCAUUUUCUCUCCAACUCUU